UACGGGGGGGGCAAGCGUUGUUCGGAAUUACUGGGCGUAAAGGGCUCGUAGGUGGCCAACUAAGUCAUACGUGAAAUCCCUCGGCUUAACCGGGGAACUGCGUCUGAUACUGGAUGGCUUGAGUGCAGGAGAGGAACGCGGAAUUCCAGGUGUAGCGGUGAAAUGCGUAGAUAUCUGGAGGAACACCGGUGGCGAAGGCGGCGUUCUGGACUGCAACUGACACUGAGGAACGAAAGCCAGGGGAGCAAACGGG
rnacentral:rRNA from 1 species